rnacentral:misc_RNA from 1 species
AACUGAUACUACCUGCGGGAACCUGCGGAGGGAUCAUUACUGAAGUGAUUUGGGGAUGUUGCUGGCCCUCUCUCAAGGGGGGGCACUGUGCACUCCUCGAAACAAUUCACAAUUUCCAUCACACCCCUUGUGCACACCUUGUAGGCACCCAAACCCACCUCCGGGUGGUGGGGUCCUAUGUAUUCCUUCAUCUCACACUCUGUUGAAUGGUGCCAUGGGACACAUCUAAAGGAUUAUUUG